CCUACGGGUGGCAGCAGUGGGGAAUAUUGCACAAUGGAGGAAACUCUGAUCCAGCGACGCCGCGUGAGGGAAGACGGCCUUCGGAUUGUAAACCUCUGUUUUUGGGGAAGAAAAUGACGGUACUCUAAGUGGAAGCUCCGGCUAACUACGUGCCAGCCGCCGCGGUCAUACGUAGGGAGCGAGCGUUGUCCGGAAUUACUGGGUGUAAAGGGAGCGUAGUCGGGCGAGAAAGUCGAAUGUUAAAUCUACCGUCUAAACUGGUAGCUGCGUUCAAAACUUCUAGUCUUGAGUGAAGUAGAGGCAGGCGGAAUUCCUAGUGUAGCGGUGAAAUGCGUAGAUAUUAGGAAGAACACCGAUGGCGAAGGCAGCCUACUAGGCUUUAACUGACGCUGAGGCUCGAAAGCGUGGGGAGCAAACAGGAUUAGAUACCCUAGUAGUC
rnacentral:rRNA from 1 species